rnacentral:rRNA from 1 species
GUGAACCUGCGGAAGGACUAUUAUAGUACAACGGGGGUGCAAGGGCUGUCGCUGACCUUUCAA